CAAAAAAAUCUAUAAAUUAAGCUAAUGUUUUAGUUGACCAUAAAAAUAAUCAAAUGCAAAUUUCUACUUAUUGUGAUAAGAAAUAUUUCAAUACUUCCUGAAAUUACUGAAUGAAUGUCAAAAGGGAAUUUAAAUCAUUGCAUUAUACUUAAAUCUCUCACAAGUAAUUUUUUACUCCAUCCAUUGCCCCUUUUCAGUCUUCACCAUACUAUGCAGGGUGCUCACACUCUCAAACGUUGUAAUGUAUGAAAAACUGUAUUAUUCCUCAUUUUGCAAAGUCUUUUAGUCACUAAGCCAUUACUUGCUGUAGUUUUCAUUAGUUUAUGCCAACAUUUCUUUUUGCCAAGACAAACAAAUCCUGGAGGUUAAAUUCCACUGCAAAACACAACAAACCACAGCCUGUAUCACAUUAAUGAUCCAUUUCAGCACCACACAGUAAUGAGAGCCUAAAACUGCUGUCAAAAGAGCUAAACUUACUGCAGACAUGGGAUGGACUUACUGUGUUAUAUGGUUCCUGUGUUUUGCAGUGACUGAGUGCCAGCAGCCUCCGGACUCCAAAUCUAUAAUACAUGCUUAAUUGAAAAAAAAAAAAUCUCCUGGUCUGCAGUUACUUUCACCUGUGAAGCAGAUGGAAAGUGGAGGUCCAACCACAGUGAUGUCACUCCAGCAUGUA